CGGAAUCUCGACCCAAGUUGGGUAGGGGAAACUAACCACGACCGGUAAAGGUUGGACUAACUACCGCAUACCGCCCGUAACGGGGGAAAGCGAGGGGAUCGCAAGACCUUGCGCCGAUGGAUGAGCCGAAGUCGGAUUAGCUAGUUGGUAGGGUAACGGCCUACCAAGGCGACGAUCCGUAGCUGGUCUGAGAGGACGACCAGCCACACUGGGACUGAGACACGGCCCAGACUCCUACGGGAGGCAGCAGUGGGGAAUAUUGGACAAUAGGCGAAAGCCUGAUCCAGCGACGCCGCGUGUGUGAAGAAGGCCUGCGGGUUGUAAAGCACUUUUAGUGGGGAUGAAAAGCCUAGAGCUAAUACCUCUGGGUCUUGACCUAACCCACAGAAAAAGCACCGGCUAACUCUGUG
rnacentral:rRNA from 1 species